rnacentral:rRNA from 1 species
UACGGAGGAUCCAAGCGUCAUCCGGAUUUAUUGGGCUUAAAGGGUGCGUAGGCGGCUUAUUAAGUCAGGGGUGAAAGACGGUGGCUCAACCAUCGCAGUGCCUUAGAUACUGAUGAGCUUGAAUGUACUAGAGGUAGGCGGAAUGUGACAAGUGGCGGUGAAAUGCAUAGAUAUGUCACAGAACACCAAUUGCGAAGGCAGCUUACUAUGGUAUUAUUGACGCUGAGGCACGAAAGCGUGGGGAUCAAACAGG